rnacentral:rRNA from 1 species
UACGUAGGGUGCGAGCGUUGUCCGGAAUUACUGGGCGUAAAGAGCUCGUAGGUGGUUUGUCGCGUUGUUCGUGAAAACUCACAACUCAAUUGUGGGCGUGCGGGCGAUACGGGGCAGACUGGAGUACUGCAGGGGGAGACUGGAAUUCCUGGUGUAGCGGUGGAAUGCGCAGAUAUCAGGAGGAACACCGGUGGCGAAGGCGGGUCUCUGGGCAGUAACUGACCGCUGAGGAGCGAAAGCGUGGGGGAGCGAACAGG